GGGUCCGUAGCUCAGAGGUUAGAGCAAGCGGCUCAUAACCGCUGGGUCGUGGGUUCGAUUCCCACCGGACCCACCA
rnacentral:tRNA from 1 species